ACCUAGCCCCGAUUGCCGCGACAUCCUUUUUUGCAAGGAUUUUGAAAUGGCAAAAAAGAUAUAGCAGAAAGCGGGAUUUAGC
rnacentral:sRNA from 1 species